rnacentral:lncRNA from 10 species
CAUGCAAUCUUUUUGCCAGGUCCUCAUGGGAGGGAGCAUGCAGGUUCUGGAGAACAGGACAUCAACGUAUUUUGGGGGUCGCCAUUCAGUCCAUUACAAAUGAUCUCAUCUCAACUAAUUCCAUCAGCUAUGACCCUAUUUCCAAAUAAGGUCUCAUCCUGAGGUUCUGGGUGGAUGUGAAUUUGGGAGAAAUACUCUUCAACCCACUAUACCUUCCAGUGCUGACUAACGUCUGUAUUUAAAUAAACUCUGCAAUUAUCUCAGAAGACUUCCAGAAAGAAACACGUGGCUGUAUACCAGUGCUAUUUAAAGGAAAAGAAUUGCAGUGAAGUAAUAGUUUGACGGCUCCUGAACUGCAGUGUAUACUCCUA